GAACUCUAGCAAGUCUAUUUUUAUUAAAAAGCCAAACAAACAAACACCUUCUUUCUAUUAAUGGCAGAUGGUAGGCAAAACGUGAAUCUGCAAGAAUAGGAGCGCCCCGGGAUCUGCUGUUAUAGUUGCAGAAAAAUGGACCUUGGGUUGUACUCUAACUGGCAGGAAAGCUACUUAGUUCAAAAAGAGAUCUUUUUAAUAAGAAGUGAAAGGCUGCUUAUCUUAUCAGUAAGAACAAGAAGGCCAAGAGUCCUUUAAUAAGGAGCUGUACCGAUCAGCAGAAGGUUUUCCAGAUGUGUUAGCUUGGGCUCUGUCUUUUUUAACUGUCUAAGAAGUCUCCUUUCCUACCGUACUUCUUUUAAUGCAGGGCCUCUUUUCCUUUUCCUUUUCUUUCGUCUUGCUGCAACAACAUCCUUUACUGACCUUUUUUCUAGGGCCCUUUGAUGUACUGACCCCUCGGUGAGGUCAGAUACCCGCCUGGUUGCAAUCCAUUGUUUUCUAAGGAACUGCCCUAGUUUAUGCUAACUGAGGAUCUGUCCUUCUCCUAGAUCAUUGUAUAAAAAACGUGAAUCCUUUGGUCUAGGUAGAGUAGAAUUAAUCUAAAUAACUACACUGAUAUUUGGAAAAGUAGUCUGAAAUAGAGCAGUAUGCAACUGAUGAGUUGCUGACUCAUGCGGGGUGGGCAGUCAGAGUUAUCGCGGGCCAGCUGGAUGCAAGCAAAAGUGCAGAUGGAGAACAUCAGUGAAAGCUGAGAUGAAAAAAAUGCGAGGAUGCUGGGCUGGGACAAGAGAAGGACUGUGAAUGAUAUUAUAGCACAAAUAAAAAUGAGAAUAAAACUUCACUGCGCUGUCAGCACUUAAAAGCAAUCGAGAGAGCUAAGUCUAAGUCCAGGGAAGUUAACAGCCCCCUGUUGCCGGCUACAGUCUUUGGACCGGGCCCGCCAAGUGGACUCAGUUUUUGCUUCCAAAGACUAUGUAGAAAGGCAGCUCUUAUCCUUCAGCUAUUUUAGAGCCUAUUUUGGGCAAAAAGACAAAUAUUUCAUUGGACAAAUGUGAUUGUCAGUCCAGAAUAUUUCAGGAUAUUUUCAAUGCUGGCUUCUUUUUUUCACUGCAGCUGGUUGAAAGGAUAGUGUUUCUGCACGCUGUCACAGGGCUGGCGUUUGGGCUUGGGUUUUUUAUGUUCACCACUUACCUUGAUGCCAAACCAUAACUUGGUUUCUUUGGGUUUGGACGGGCAGCCGAGUCAUUUGCUGCAGUUGAACAGAGUAUCUGUGUAUAAUGCAGGUGGAGGCUGAACACGUCCAAACAAGCAGGCCAGUCAAAUCCUCAGUGCAAGGGAAGGAACCACGGAGCUCUCUUCUGAAACAGUCAGAUAUAUUUGCCUACUGGAAGAUUUGAACAGGGAGAGGAAAAUCAGUGCUCUUAAGAAGUGGGGAGUGGGGUGCGUUUCCAGGAAGAUGUAAGGUAGAAUUUAAUUUUACACGGAGCCUCCCAUACUUGAGGUGUUCAGCAAAGUGUUUUAUAUAGCAAUGUGUUAAAUAUAGAAGGGUGACUCAGUAGGCAAAACAGAGCAACCACUAAAUCCGUUCACACGUAUAACGUUGGACAGUAAAUGAAGGGCUUCAGCAGUAGCAGGGCUGUGAGUCCUGACCUCCAGCAGCUCCUGCUGGGGUGCUUUUAAGGCGUCGCUGUUUAUCGCUUUCCGCUCUGCCCCUUAUCAGAGGGGAACAGCUCACUUCUGGCAAAGAUGGCUGAGGAAGGUAACUUCUAAAUCAUCCCCACGUGCCGAGCCAGAGCUUCUGACUGUAGGAGCCGUGUGGUACCUAAGAACCGAAACAUUAAGAAAAGACAUCAGCUCCUUUUGGAGGGAAGCAGCUGCAACACGGGCCAGUCAGGUUAUGCACAAGCUGCGAUGUUGUUGUUGUGGGGUUAGUUCCAGCCUGUGUCUCGUUAAACAGCUUGCAUUGCUGCAUCCUUGGUAAAACAGCCAAAACGUGAAGAGGCAGAGUUGGUAAAUAAAAAACUGUUUAGCCUCAAGAGAAGGCUCUGAGGGGAUCUUACCAACGUACAUAAAUAUCUGAAGCGAGGGUGCAAAGCAGAUGGAGCCAGGCUCUUUUCGGUGGCACCCAGUGACAGGACCAGUGGCGGCAGGUGCAAACUGAAACACAGGAGUCCCUCUUGAACAUCAGGAAAUGCAUUUUUUCUUUGAGGGUGACUGACCGCGGAACAGGUUCUGCAGAGAGGUUGUGGAGUCCCCCACCUUGGAGACAGUCAAAAGCUGUCUGGGCAUGGUCCUGGGCAACAGGAGGCUCUAGGUGGCCCUGCUUGGGGGGCGGGCACGGUGGACAAGAUGACCUCUAGAGGUCCCUUCCAAUCCCAACCCUUCUGCGAUUCUUCUGAUGGCCACGUUUUGUUAAACUUAAAUCUGUUAACAAGGAGACUGUAAUGUCUUUCUUGGAUUUGGUUGAAAUUGGAGUCAGGAAGCAGUAACUGGGUCUACUGCUUAUCGUUUUCACAAAGCUGAUGUACUUUCUUUUCCUAUCAUCUUAAGGAUUGGUGCUCUUCUCCAGCCCCAGAAAGGUACCAUCAGUGUUGUACAAGCCCACUGACACAGAGCAGCCACUUGAGAGGAAAGAAACGUCUGCCUUGAGAUGCGUAUGAGGAUUUCCUUGUUCUCAUUCCCUGACCCCUUAAACUACAGGUUUCUGCUUUCUCAGUUGUGCAGAGUGCAAAGCUGAUGCUUGUGGGGGUAUUUAAUUACAUACGAAAAGGAAAGAGAGCCUGGGGAAGGACACUCAUUCAAUCUAUGCUGUUCUCCUUGCUAACAAGGUGUCAGAUUCAGUAAAACCUGAGAUUGAAAGGAAACUCGGGGCGUGCCAGCCCGUGUGGAUCACCACCAAAAGUCAUUUGUGCAUGACUUCUGCACACUGUAGCAAUCUGUAAGGCACGAGGGGCUGCUUAGUAGUCUGUUUCCCUGGACUCCUGUAAGAAGAAAUUCCUUGUUUGUCUAGAAGGGAAUGCUGAUACUGUGGUCACAGAAUUGCCUGCAAGGUAUUGCAGAGAUUCCUGAGCUAGUCUGAAGCUGGAUAACUGCGAUUCCGUGAGCAGUCUAGGCGUCGCAGUCUGAACCUCAGCUAGACUAAUUUAUCUAGUCUUUACAUUGCUACAGCUGGACUUCUAGCUAAAACUGAGUUAACAUGAAGGUACCUUGGAUGCAGUGCUGCAUUGCAUUCAUUCCUGUGCAUUGAAAAGAGGAGGCAUCUUCCCAGUUGAGGAGGAGUACUCACGAGGCUUAGAAACAGUAACUUAGCAUUUGCAAAAGACAAGAAGUCCUUGUACUGCGAAAGAUAAAAGAGGAGUUACUAGAACAUGCUACUGCUAGCCCAAAGGGUUUGAGAAGCGAGCUAAAAAUGACUGAGAAUCACCAAGAAGUACUGAGAUUUCCAGUCAUAUCUCAGUAUUCGGUGUGUUUGCUUUUUAGGCUUUCCACUUAUAAGGUUUAAAAACUCAAGUUGUAACACGUGAGUCUGAAAUUCAGGAAGUCUUUAGAUUUUUGUCUAAGGAAAGUUGAAAGUCUGUGUGCCUGUGCUUCAUCUAGGGCAAUUAGAAACACCGUGUCCUAUGAGACUUGCCAAUACUGAGGAUGGCUGAAAGGCACUUUAUUUGCUGUUUGGUACAUGUCAGGGAAGAUUUACAGCAACUGCACCUGUCUUAUUUCCAAUAAAGAUCGCUGCACUGAUGGAGAGUGAAAAGGAUGCAUCGGGUAGCAGUGCUCUGUCCCUCAGAAUGGGUGACUUCUCUUGCUUUUCCUGCUGAGAGAGUAUCUAACCUUGCCUCCUACUAGAAGUAGUCAAAUAUUUAUGUCUUUUGCUUCCUCCUUCACGUACCUGCCUGUCUGUAACCCCUAGCUCCUUGCUCCUUGUUCCAUUACCUCCUGUCUUUCUUUGCAGUGCCCCUGCUUGGCUACUCUUAAACCUGCUCCUGCAGCUGGAGCUGGACAAUGUCGUUCAGCAAAGUUUGCUCUGAUGCUCUUACGUUGGAAGACCAAGAGUGAAGGGCUCACCUAUUUGGCUGAUGUAUCUUAAUCAGUGGUUUGUGUAAGUAAUAAGUGAAAAGGAUCAGCCAAUGUCCUGGUGCUGGUAGAAUUAAUUUUCCACAUCUGGCUACAACAGGUGGGGGAAGCAACAGUGAAACAUGAUUUCUAAUUUUUACAGUAUUUUUGUGCCGGGGACUCUGUCUAGGUCUGUAAUUUGUGUCUGAUUUGUAAGCCCAUCCCCUGCCCUUGCCAGGUUUACGAGUUAGUUUUAUUUCUGUUUGAAUGAAUGGAAACACAGCAAAGAUGAAAAACUAUUCCCCUAAAUGAAGACGACUGUUGAGAGACCUUAAGUGUUUGUUAGUUCACUGCAGCAGCAUUUGUUGCACUUUGAAUGUGGAACCAGCGAGCUGUAAGCUGGCACUUAAACGUUGCCCAGCAGACUGAAUUCCCUCUUUCUCCUGUGCUGAAUUCAAAGAUCCAGCUGGGCAUAGAAUGAAACCUCUGAAAAGACCGUGGUAUCGAGUGUCUCUUCCAACAAAGCAGCAAGGGAGCGAAUAGCCAAUUAACAGAAUAAGGAUCAUCUUGCAUGUUUCGUGCUACCUGGCACUCUAGAAGAAUUAUUAGAUCAGAACUUUCCUAAGGCAUUUCAUAUUGAAUGGUAUUCACCAUUCAAAGGGUAAUCAAAGGCUAAGCCCUUCUCCUCCUCUGAGAUUUUAAAUAUAUUUUUUUCUUUGCUGCAGUUCUCUGCUGAUAAGAAUCCAAGUUUACAAAUUCUAGUUGUUUGGAUAUUUUAAUGAAGGGCAUUGUGCUAUUGCUCAGGAUCUGACAAGGGAAAGCUGGGUGAAUGAUGAUGGCAGCGAGUGAAACAAAGGGGUGGUAGCAGUCGCCGGUAUUUUAAAUUUGUCUUGAAUUUCCUUAGACAGUUAACUUGCCCAUUAGAGGCUGAAUGCUACACUCGAGUUUUGGACCUCCUCCUGUAACUUGUCCUGAAGUCAAAACCUGUUCUGCUGAAUGGGGCGCUGGGGGGAAGCUGAAGGCAGGCUCUGGGAAAGAUAAGAAUUCAAAGUCAAGUUGGAAAAACUGUCAGGUACGGAAUAUGCUUUAAUCAUCCUUGCUUCAUUAACACUUAAAGCCCAUUAAAACCAGCAGAAUGCUUGGGCCCCUCAUGAGCUCAUGGUUAUUCACGUUCCUCCACAACUUGUGAAUUCAUUGGCUCAACUCAGCUGAAUCUGGUAAAUGAGCACAGGUAUCAGAGGAAAUGAAUUUCCUACAAACAACAUGCGUGGUGUGAGUUCGCACGUUUCCACCCACAACUUGAGAAAGAGCCUUUUUGCGUUUCCAACCAAAGGAGAAGCUGCCGUCGGAGCUCAGCGGCUCCCUCAGCAGAGUGGAGAAAUAAGAAGAUCCGAAGACAGCAAAGUUCUGAGGCUAGAGCUACACGGAAAAAUGAGGUCUCCUGUUUCUACUUAGUGUAGUAGCUCUCUGAAUUUAAACUCAGCUUAAACGCGACUGCUAGGAAGAAAGGCAGAUAAGGCCUAGUAAGUUAUAAGCCUAAUGUACCAGUCUUUGGCAUCAGGUGAAAAUGGCGUACUGUUUGGAAAUUGCAAAACGUACUGUGGUUUCGUUUGUGAAAUAUGUAAAAUCUGAAUGGGUUUUGUGGAGAAAUGCUCAUGUGGUAAGGGGUUAGGAUCCAGAGAGACUUUUGUGUAUUAGUUCGUGAUGGGUAUGUGUUUGCUUUUCAUCACCUGGCAUUCCCCUGAGGAGUAAGUGUCCCUGGUUUGUAAUGAUUUCCUGCUGUCUGAGUACUGUUUGUGAAACAAAGAUGGGAAGGCGAGCGACUGAUAUCCCUUAAUUAUGCUGCUAUUGACAGCGUGAGGUCCUAUUAGGAAUUACAUUGGGCAUGAGUAAACCUGGGAGCUUUCUUAGCCUUCAGAUGCUUUGCCUUUUUCAACUGUUUUUAAAACUAAGUGCUGUAAAUUGCUUACUGUAACUGGGCACCAGUGAAACCAUCCAGUCUGGAUAAAGAUGUGCAAACCAAAGACAUUGAGUAAAUAACUACAUUUUAAAAGUAUUUUUCCAUAUAGUUAUCAUACAAAAGUGAAACUGCUGUGCUUUAAAAACCCAGAAGGAGGGGGGAGAAAACCCAACUUGCAUAAGUCUGCAUAUAGCACUUCUCUUAUUUGGAAAGGGUGCCUCAGGAUGUAUUUGUACUACCUGACUAUAGGCACAGAGCUGCUUUUAUGAGAUCUAAAUUUGAUGGUGAAGCUGUACUGGAGUUCAUGGCCCCUACUUUUCCCUCAGGCACUCGUUUUCCCCUUGAGCUGUGCUGGAAAACCUGUGGGUAAUCUGCACUUCCAAAUCGGUGACAGGAUUGAUCUGGGCUGAACAUAAUCUUCACAGAAAAAAAAAGAUAAGUGGAGGAGUUAGAAGGGUCUGCCUUCUCCCUCCAGAUGACUCUGAGCUGAAUGUCUGCCCGGUAUGAGUUCAGGGCAGUGCUGCUGCAGCGAGGGAUUUUAGUAGAGAGUAACUUUUCACCAUUGAAACUCAGUGCUUAGCUUUUAAAAUUUAUUUUAAAAUGUUGUAUGCAAUUAUGCGUGUCCAUUGUGUUUUAUGUGAUAAACAGCGAUGGGCUUGACUAACAGAAAAGGAACAAUAAGCCACAAAGAGGCGCUCUGUUUAUACGUGUUUUCCCGUAUGUUUGCAUGCGUGUAUAUCUAUGCGUAUCUGUGUGUAACUACACUACUAACUUGAGGUGAAUUUUCAGAUAUUAUCCUGCCAUUUGUUGCAAACAGACUGGAAUAUAAAUGAAAUCAGCCCUGAACAGUCCUUAACGAAGACCCUAUUUAGUAUUCUAAUCCUUUUUAAAAUGCAGAUAAGAACAUUCAGCCGUCCUGUGCUGUCCUGGGGACUUCUGGGCAAGCAUGAGAGGGAGAAAAUACUGCUGUUGCAGGCCUUGUGCGAUAGCAUAGUGCUGCAGAAUGCUGAGGUGAUGACAAACUCCGUCACACGCGUGAGCUGAAGCUGGCAGAGUAGCCUGCUCUAAGUUCACCGGGGCUGAUCUACUUGAAGCUGGCCUUAUGCAUCCCCAUUGCAGCCCCCUCUGCCAGAGGUCUCCCCUUCCGCCCUCCUCUUCGGUGCAUGGGGUUGGAAGAUGCUGCUGCUUCUCCUUGCAUUAAAAGCUGCCUAAAGUUGAGCAGAAAUAUGGGCUUCUAAGCUAGGGAGCGUGCUUUGCACGUGAGCUGCUGCCUGAGCGCGGCACUCCCGCCGGAGAGGGGGUGUUCCUGCGGGUGGGUUCGUGCAAAGGCUGUUUUGAAACCACUGCUCUCUUUUUCCCACUCGCUGUUCAGCCUUUCCGCAGCCUGGCAGCUGGGAAAGCAUUCUCGGUUAGACACUUGUUCCGUUUUUUAAAUCUUCCUUGGCUAUUGGCCACCCGCGGAGGCACGAUACUGGGUUGGGCGGAUGUUUGGUCUGAUGUGUUCGGCCGUUCUCAUGUUGCCAUAGCCUUACCUGCCAUUUCUGUGGGUGACUGCGUGGUGAAUCGUAUUGCCUUCACCUUGUCAGUUUCUUUUUCAUGAUACCGCUUUACAGACAUGAGGUUCAGGAAACUGAAUUUUGCAGGGAGCCCUGCUUUUCCUAGGAACCCAGAGUACAUCUCCAUUUCCUUUGAGCCUGGAAUUUGCUCAGAACUCCUUGAGUGAAAAAGUAUUCACUGGAUAGAGGUUUGAAAGGAGAAGGCCAGUGAUGAAGGAAGAGGUUUGUCUUCUAAAAAGCUGCUUCCCCCUCUCACUUGAGUGUUUCCUUGGCUUACAUGCCGGUAAGAACAGCACAAGUCCUUUGCUUUAAAUCUGUUCAGCCCUUGCUUAUGACACACUUUAUUGCUGCUUGGUCCGUGUUGGAUUUACUCUUUCCUCUAGCCCAUGUAAAUUCAUCAGCAACAGAUUGCCGUGGUAGUUUCCCCUCAUAAACAGUAUACAAGUUACUGUUUCCUGUUACAAAAACCCUUCUUUUCCUUUUCCCAGAAACAGCGAGCAACUAUGUUGAAUGGAUUUCUCUACAAGGUUACUUUACAGGUCAGGAGGUUAGCUUACUUUUGUCUUUUUACUUGAACUGUUUCCGAAGAAAUCCUCUGUGUGUUCUCCUGAAUUGUAAAGGCUGGUGAGAAUGAGAAGCCUAAGUCAUCCAUUAAUCCACAGGCAAAGUACUAUUCAAGCAGCUGCAGUGAAAGCUCUCACAUGCUGCCCUGGAAAUAACCCCAGCCUUGACGUGGUAAGAUGACCCCAGGUAAGGUCAGAUGCUCACUUCUCAUUUUCAGUUAAGCUUCUGGCUUUUAAACAGUACUUGGAGUUGUCCCUUGUGGUUGUGUUGAUCUCUGAAAGCAGAUGCAUCUUCACAGGGAGAGAGCGGACAAGUGGAGUCCAGAGAGGCAGAGGUUUAUCUGCUGAACGUUGCUGCUCUCUCAUCUCAACUUAGUGUUGUUUUGGCUUAAAUAUUUAAUGGCCAUGACCCCAUGUGAGAGCAGCAAGUGGCAUCAGGAUUUUAGCUUAAGCUGCUUUGCAGAGACAAGCACCUGUUUUAAUUCCUUCUGGAAAUGGAAGUGAUUUGGAAGUGUCCCCACAAAUUCAAGUCAAAGGGGUAACACUUGCCUGCUUGCAUACUUUCCCAUGAAGUGCGUGAAUUUGAAUGAUCUGUGACACGGCGUAAGAGAUUAAAGCUCAUGGCUGGGAUUUUCAGGAGGGCGUAAGAAAGCUGGAUGUCUGUCCUGAUGGCCUGAACACUAACUGAGUGUGGCACUUAAAUGAGCCUUGGGUCAAACCUCUUUCAAGUUCUUUGAAAAUCCUGCCUGUGCUAGCCUUCCAUGUGCAUUGGGGUCAAUGUGCGGCGCAGAAGGCGAACCAGCCUGAGUUCAGUGGGUUUGUGCAUAAGGCUGACUGUUUAGAUAAAACACAAGGGAUAGUGCUGGACUUAGACUGUGACUUCGCCAUCUGGUCCAAGUAAGGACCAGUGCAGCAUGUGCGCUGGCACAAAAGCAGCGAUGAUGCAAAAAUCCACAAGUAGCAAUUUUUUUCCCUAUUACAGCCCACCUCUUUCUGGGGUGGUGGUGGGGGAAUCGCAAAGCUCAACCAACAGUAUAGCCAGUACUUCUGGCUUAAUUCUGAUAUUACUACAAAUAGACCAUUAAGGUUUCUGGAAGUGGUAGAUAUGAACGCUCAUUCCAUACCUAAAUAAUGAUGAUUCCAAAAGAAAAAGUUUCAAAAAGAGCUGUCCCCACCCCCAGUUGAAAAGUAAAGCUCUCUAACAUGUAAGUUAGCUGCACUUAAGCAGUCUUAUCUAAGUAUCUGUAGUAGCAACAUCCAGGAAGUUCCAGCAGUGCUAUAGCCUGCCUGUGGGGCUUUCUAAAUAAGUGAUCUCUUUCCAGCUUAGUCACAUAUGUUCCAUACUGAAAAUAGAGGCUUAAUAAUGUCUCCUGUCAAUUAAAAGAGUUAAGAAGGAAGUGAUUGCAUAGGUGCAUAUAUGCAGCACGUGCAUAUCCUGCAGUAAUAUUAGCAUUUCAACUGUCUGGUUGCAUGUAACUGUAAAGUUACUGAGGGUUCUCGUAUGCCAUCAGUAUUUUCAUAAUUACUUACUUUUACCUGAUGUUUCUAAUUUAUGCCUAGAUAAGUCUGCUCGGAGUGGUCACAUCUGCUAGCAGCUCUGGAAGCUUUCUUCUCGUUUUCGUUUUCAUCCAGGAGUCGUUCUCUUACGUGAAAUCUAUUGAAUAGGUCAGUAUCCGUAAGAUUUACCGAAAGCACUUUGUACCGUGGUUCUGGUACGUUUAUUCAUGUCAGAUAACUUUCCUGCUUUCAUCCAGAAUUGGGGUUGUCCAGAAACAGCAGUGCUCAGCCUGCUCCUGCCAUUGCAUCU